rnacentral:rRNA from 1 species
CCUACGGGAGGCAGCAGUGGGGAAUAUUGCACAAUGGGCGAAAGCCUGAUGCAGCGACGCCGCGUGAGGGAUGACGGCCUUCGGGUUGUAAACCUCUUUCAGCAGGGAAGAAGCGCAAGUGACGGUACCUGCAGAAGAAGCACCGGCUAACUACGUGCCAGCAGCCGCGGUAAUACGUAGGGUGCGAGCGUUGUCCGGAAUUAUUGGGCGUAAAGAGCUUGUAGGCGGUUUGUCGCGUCUGCAGUGAAAAUCCGGGGCUCAACCCCGGACUUGCUGUGGGUACGGGCAGACUAGAGUAUGGUAGGGGAGACCGGAAUUCCUGGUGUAGCGGUGGAAUGCGCAGAUAUCAGGAGGAACACCGAUGGCGAAGGCAGGUCUCUGGGCCAUAACUGACGCUGAGAAGCGAAAGCAUGGGGAGCGAACAGGAUUAGAUACCCUGGUAGUCCAUGCCGUAAACGUUGGGCGCUAGGUGUGGGACUCAUUCCACGAGUUCCGUGCCGCAGCUAACGCAUUAAGCGCCCCGCCUGGGGAGUACGGCCGCAAGGCUAAAACUCAAAUGAAUUGACGG